rnacentral:tRNA from 1 species
GUUCCUAUAGUUGAAUAACAACAGUGGUUUUUCAAGCCACUAGUUUUGGUUAAAGUCCAGGUAGGAAUU